UAACACGUAGGGGGCAAGCGUUGUCCGGAUUUAUUGGGCGUAAAGAGCUCGUAGGCGGCUCGGUAAGUCGGGUGUGAAAACUCGGGGCUCAACCCCGAGACGCCACUCGAUACUGCCAUGGCUUGAGUCCGGUAGGGGAGUGUGGAAUUCCUGGUGUAGCGGUGAAAUGCGCAGAUAUCAGGAGGAACACCGAUGGCGAAGGCAGCACUCUGGGCCGGUACUGACGCUGAGGAGCGAAAGCGUGGGGAGCAAACAGGAUUAGAUACCCUGGUAGUCCACGCCGUAAACGUUGGGCACUAGGUGUGGGACUCUAUCGACGGGUUCCGUGCCGUAGCUAACGCAUUAAGUGCCCCGCCUGGGGAGUACGGCCGCAAGGCUA
rnacentral:rRNA from 1 species